GCCAGGCGUGGUGGCAUACGCCCUGUAAUCCCAACAGCUUGGGAGGCGGAGGCAGGAGAAUUGCAAGUUCAAAGCCAGCCUCAGCAAUGGCGAGGUGCUAAGCAACUCAGCAAGACCCUGUCUCUA
rnacentral:sRNA from 1 species